UAUAUAUAUUAAUGAAUAUCUAGUAGAUAUAAAAUUUUAAAAUAACUAAUAUAUUUAAGUAUAUAACUGUGUUUUAGAUUAUUUCGGUAUCUAAAAUAUUUCUGUCUUGAUCAAAUUCGGGUCUGGUUAUCCGGAUAUUAAACUUCUAGAUCCAUUUGAGUAAUUAAUCAGUUUUUUUUUGUGUCUAGUAUUACUUUCAAAUCAAGUUCGGUUCUUCGGUUCCAAAUAUUUUACGAAGACUUACUUUCUUCUACAAGUAUAAAGAAAAAUAUACAAAUGUAAUUAAACAAAUUUAACAUCUAAUCACUUUUUUUGGUGGAUUAUCUCCAAAUAUAAAUGUUGUCAGUGAACAAUCAAGAAGACUUAUUAAUAAUAUUGUAGGUCUCCAUGUAUUUGUUUCAAGUAUUUUAAAACUAACUUUAAUCCGGUAUGUUAAUCGAUAGAAUAUAGCAUAUUAUGAUUCAGAAUCUAUGUAUGGUUUUAUUUGAUUUGUUCUUAGGGUAUAGGUUUUUCUUUUUGGAACAUCCCUAGUACAGGGCCGAUAUUAGGCCAAGCUUAACGAAAUAUUUGUUUUUCAGACCUCUAAAAUUUUUGAAUUUUUUUAUAUGCAACUGGGCCUAGUGCAUGGCCGGUCCUCGGGCCUCCGAAUUUAUAAAAAGGAAAUUUUAGGUCCCUAAACUAUUGAAAUCUUUGGUAAAUCUUUAAUAAAUCAUCUACGACUCCAGAAUCUCAUAACCAGCCAUGUCCUAGUGGGAUAGAUUUUGUUACAAUUUUUGUGGAAUGUUAUCUGAUGACGUGGUAUAAUUAAGAUUAAAUAAUCAUAUCUUUUCACGUAGCAACUUUUUGAAAUCAGAAAGUUGUGUGGAAGAAGCUCCAGCAAAAAUACAAAAUUAGAAAAAAGAAAAAAAUAUCAGAACCCUAAUUUAGCAACCAAAGAAAAAAAGAACUAAAGCGCUAUUAAUUGAAACGAAGCGAAGUUGGUAAGGUAUAUAUUAUGUGAAUCGAAUAAUAAAAAAGCAACGGUCAGGCUCCAAGAUUUUCAUGAAACUUAACGAACCCUUUGUGCAACUAACUAACUCGUCCUCCACUUUGGUUCUAUUACGAUCUCAUACUCAGGUCGUCUCGGCGACUCCGUCUUCAAUUCUCUCUGCAUCACCAAAAUUUAUCUCUUCUUUCUUCCCCACCGUCACUUCCGGAGAGAUUUUCUCACGGUCUUUUUCCAUCGCACGAGCAUCGCGUGAAUCUUGUUCGCCAGUACUCCGCUUCACGUCUCUCUUCUUUAAUCACCGUAAGCUUUUCUUGAGGAACGGAACGUCUCCGUUUUUUUCUUCCUCCGGCGUAAAGGAUUAAAAUGGCCCAAUAUUAGUGUGAACAAUGCCCGGUGAAUUCUCACGUGGCCACCGUAUAUUGCACUACUGAGAGUCGAUAUGUCUGCGGGAUGUGUGGCCUAAAUUGCUUGAGACAGAAGCACUCAGUUCAUCAAAUUGUUGAACAACCCGUGGUUCAUCAAGGGCAAGAGGAGCAAAACGUGGGAGGAAGACCACUACCACGAGCUGAGAUUCAGAGGCAGAACAGAAGACUCGCUGCUAUCAGGCUAGACCUUAAGAGACCCAUACGCAAGAAGACUGCCCCAAAAAUCAAAGUAGCAGCUAAACUAAGGGAAAAAUAUGCGAAAGAGAGAUUUGCAAGAAAAGAUGAUCCAAAAGAUGAUGGUGCAAGUGGCGCAGCCGCAGUAAACUAGUUAUUUCACAAAAGAAGAAAGAAUAAGUCUGCAACGUUUAUGUGGAGAAGUACAUGAGAAAUUGUUGAAAAUUACAUUCUGAUGAUUUUUUUUUUUCAUAUCUAGAACCUAUCCGACAGUUAAAUUUGAUUUUAGAUAUUCACAACUUGUUUUCAAAAAUACAUAUAUAACCUUCACCGAUGAUUCUUAUCGGACAGUAAAAACAAAACUUCAAAGUUGUGAAGAGACAUUUUCAUACUACCACUUUUCAUCUUUACCACUAUUAAAAGAACAUUUUCAAAAAUAUUUUCUUCACUAAUAAGUGGCAAAAGACUCUUAUAUUCUUGUUAUCUAUAUAUAUAUA